rnacentral:rRNA from 1 species
AACGAACGCUGGCGGCAUGCCUAACACAUGCAAGUCGAACGAGACCUUCGGGUAUAGUGGCGCACGGGUGCGUAACGCGUGGGAACCUGCCCUUAGGUUCGGAAUAACUCCCCGAAAGGGGUGCUAAUACCGGAUAAUGUCUUCGGACCAAAGAUUUAUCGCCUUUGGAUGGGCCCGCGUUGGAUUAGCUAGUUGGUAGGGUAAAAGCCUACCAAGGCGACGAUCCAUAGCUGGUAUGAGAGGAUGAUCAGCCACACUUGGACUGAGACACGGCCCAGACUCCUACGGGAGGCAGCAGUGGGGAAUGUUGGACAAUGGGCGAAAGCCUGAUCCAGCACUGCCGCGUGAGUGAUGAAGGCCUUAGGGUUGUAAAGCUCUUUUACCCAGGAUGAUAAUGACGGUACCGGGAGAAUAAGCGCCGGCUAACUCCGUG